UGGGGAAUUUUGGACAAUGGGCGCAAGCCUGAUCCAGCAAUUCCGCGUGCAGGACGAAGGCCUUCGGGUUGUAAACUACUUUUAUCCGGAACGAAAUCCCCUUCUCUAAUACAGAGGCAGCAUGACGGUACCGUAGGAAUAAGCACCGGCUAACUACGUGCCAGCAGCCGCGGUAAUACGAAGGGUGCAAGCGUUACUCGGAGUUACUGGGUUUAAAGGGUGUGUAGGCGGAUUAUUAAGUCUGCGGUGAAAUCCCCAGGCUCAACCUGGAAACUGCCAUUGAUACUGGGAGGCUUGAAUAGGGUAGAGGGUGGGGGAACGCGUGAUGUAGCGGUGAAAUGCAUAGAGAUCAGCAGGAACACCGGUGGCGAAGGCAGCACACUAAGCAAUGAUUGACGCUGAGGCACGAAAGCGGGGGGAGCAAACA
rnacentral:rRNA from 1 species